AUUGAACGCUGGCGGCAGGCCUAACACAUGCAAGUCGAGCGGAGCGGCGGACGGGUGAGUAAUGCCUAGGAAUCUGCCUGGUAGUGGGGGAUAACGUCCGGAAACGGGCGCUAAUACCGCAUACUAUCAGAUGAGCCUAGGUCGGUUUAGCUAGUUGGUGGGGUAAAGGCCUACCAAGGCGACGAUCCGUAACUGUUCUGAGAGGAUGAUCAGUCACACGGGAACGGAGACACGGGCCAGACCCCUACGGGAGGCAGCAGUGGGGAAUAUUGGGCAAUGGGCGAAAGCAUGAUUCAGCCAAGCCGCGUGUGUGAAGAAGGUCUUCGGUUUUUAAAGCACUUGAAGUUGGGAGGCGUUACCUACAGAAUAAGCACCGGCUAACUUCGUGCCAGCAGCCGCGGUAAUUC
rnacentral:rRNA from 1 species